rnacentral:misc_RNA from 1 species
GAUGAAGAACGUAGCGAAAUGCGAUAAGUAAUGUGAAUUGCAGAAUUCAGUGAAUCAUCGAAUCUUUGAACGCACAUUGCGCCCGCCAGUAUUCUGGCGAGCAUGCCUGUUCGAGCGUCAUUUCAACCAUCAAGCCCCAGGCUUGUGUUGGAGCCCUGCGGCUGCAGCAGCCUCCCAAAACCAGUGGCGGGCUCGCUAUCACACCGAGUGCAGUAGUUUACUCUUCGCUCAGGGCGUGUGGCGGGUGCUAGCCGUGAAACCCCCAACUUCUCAAGGUUGACCUCGGAUCAGGUAGGAAUACCCGCUGAACUUAAGCAUAUCAAUAAGCGGAGGA